AGGGUCGGGAUCGGGCUCCCUGAGCAGGGAGGGACCUUUGGCUUCUGAGGGUAACGGGAAUCGCAGAAUCAAUGAGGCUGAAAAAGGCCUCUGAGGUCAUCGAGUCCAGCCUAUGACCGGACACUGGCAUGUCAACCAGACCAUGGCACUGAGUGCCACAUCCAGUCUUGGCGUAAACAUCUCCAGGAGCAAUGACUCCACCACCUCUCUAGACAUUCCAAUGUCUAAAGAUUGAAUAUUUCUAACAUUCAUGGCUGUUUAUUGUCUUUUCACCCACCCACGAAGACCGAAGAACUGUGCUCAAGCACCGGCUCCUACAAAUGUGCCGGUGUUUGUGGCAAACAGCUCCAGCGCCGGAUUUCUGCUCGGGUCUGGGAGUGCUUCAGGCGGCGGCCAUAAGCCCGGGACUGCGGGGUCACAGAUUACUUAUUGCUGAGUCACUGGCACAAAAGCACAGUAACUGGAGACUGAGCUUUGAAGAAAUACUGCUAUCAUCCUUCGCCACACUGAUCACUCGUUUCAUUGU